AGGUUCCUUUCGCCGAUAGCUUAUGUUUAAAUCAAGCCAUUUUGCCAAGGCACAGUGUCAUGUAAGGUCCACUGAGAGCCGGUGAAGAAGAGAUCUAAGCUCUAGCUUUUGUAAGGACUUAAAUGGUGGAAAUGAGCAAAAUAUAACAGAAGAAGGAAUGGAUAUUACUGAUGCCAACAAGCCAAAAGACACUUUCCUAAUCCAUAACUAUGAGAAUAUGAUUUCUAAUGUUAGAAUUAAGAUAAUAUACUCCAAAGCAUACGCUAUGGAUAUACAAUACCUUGAGAUCUUAAGAAAAGCCAACAAAGGGGCAAAAGAUGUUUUCUAA